GAUGAACGCUGGCGGCGUGCCUAAUACAUGCAAGUCGAGCGAACAGACGAGGAGCUUGCUCCUUUGACGUUAGCGGCGGACGGGUGAGUAACACGUGGAUAACCUACCUAUAAGACUGGGAUAACUUCGGGAAACCGGAGCUACUACCGGAUAACAUGUUGAACCGCAUGGUUCAACAGUGAAAGACGGUCUUGCUGUCACUUAUAGAUGGAUCCGCGCCGCAUUAGCUAGUUGGUAAGGUAACGGCUUACCAAGGCAACGAUGCGUAGCCGACCUGAGAGGGUGAUCGGCCACACUGGAACUGAGACACGGUCCAGACUCCUACGGGAGGCAGCAGUAGGGAAUCUUCCGCAAUGGGCGAAAGCCUGACGGAGCAACGCCGCGUGAGUGAAGAAGGUCUUCGGAUCGUAAAACUCUGUUAUUAGGGAAGAACAAAUGUGUAAGUAACUAUGCACGUCUUGACGGUACCUAAUCAGAAAGCCACGGCUAACUACGUG
rnacentral:rRNA from 1 species